GUAGGUGGCAAGCGUUGUCCGGAAUUAUUGGGCGUAAAGCGCGCGCAGGGCGGGUUUUUUAAGUCUGAUGUGAAAGCCCACGGGCUCAACCGUGGAGGGUCAUUGGAAACUGGAGAACUUGAGUACAGAAGAGGAAAGCGGAAUUCCACGUGUAGCGGUGAAAUGCGUAGAGAUGUGGAGGAACACCAGUGGCGAAGGCGGCUUUCUGGUCUGUAACUGACGCUGAGGCGCGAAAGCGUGGGGAGCAAACGGGAUUAGAUACCCUGGUAGUCCACGCCGUAAACGAUGAGUGCUAAGUGUUACGGGGGUUUCCGCCCCUUAGUGCUGCAGCUAACGCAUUAAGCACUCCGCCUGGGGAGUACGGCCGCAAGGCUG
rnacentral:rRNA from 1 species